UCUGUGCUGUGAUGUAAAAAUGGUUUGUUCACAUGAUUUCAAGUGACAUAUUCUUGUUUUACUUUCAGGCAGAUCCACCGGAUCCAACAAAGAUUCAUGAAGAAGACACCAUAGGCAUCACGGUGGUACCCUGGACUUGCUCUUAUCUGGGGCAGGAGUUCAUCAGAGUUGGGUACUAUGUGAACAAUGACUACGAUGAAGAGCAGCUCCGAGAAGAACCACCUCCAUGGGUUUUGAUCGACAAGGUUCAGCGGCAUGUCUUGGCUGACAAGCCUCGCGUGACAAUAUUAGCGAAAAUGGUGGGCAGCAACAGCAGCCACCUAACUCACCUUCACCUCAAAAUCAUGCCGAUGAUGAUCCUCCAUCCAUCCGACACUCCAAGCAGUGAAUGGUGCGUGUGCUUUUUAUAGCUUUGUCAUCUGUAGAUCGUUUGCUGAUUCAAGGAGUAAUCAUCUGGCUAGCAUAUAAUUGACUCUUUGAUUCAAUAGUGGUUCUCUAGGUUGGUUAUGAGUUUGGGAGCCGAUAGAACUUGGGCCAAGUUUGGCUCUUAGAUUGCGUUCUACAGUAAUUUCUACAGUUUUCAGCAGCAUGAUCACUUCCUGGAGCAUUGCAAGAAUGAAGGCACUUUUGAGCACAAAAGCCAUUGCCAUUGGAGAGCCAAUUAAGUGUUGCAAUGCCAUAUGCAUGUCCGCUCGGUUGUUCGGGAAUGAUACAGAGGCGAAAAAGCCAAGAAGAAGAUGAAGACGAAGGGACAACGCCUUGGGGGGAACGUACGAUGACGACUACUGUUCCAGUUGAGCAUACCAGAUGCCUUGGAUCUUCACAUCCUUGGGAGUCUUGGCGCCCAGGUCGGUGUCCGAUGGCUGCAGGCUCUCGAACACGCCGAUCACCUCUCCGGUCUCGGGCUUGCUCUUGGUCACGCUCAGCGUGAUAGACCCGGUGGACGACGAGGUGUUCUUGAUGUUCUCCUUGCUCAGCUCCUCCUC